AUAUCUUGGUGUAGACAAUUUAUCUUCAUUUUGUAAUUAUAAAACAAAAAAUGUUUUUAAACUUUAUGAUUUACCUUUAACUCUAAACUCUUUACUGAAGUUCAAUGUUUGCUCUGAGAAGUUGAAUGAACAAAUUUAUUAAAUGAUAAAGUUGUGUCCUUGAAAGAUAUGCUGGUAUUAUUGGCACAAUGGGCAAGCAUUGAGGUGCAACUUGGUGAAAUACAAAACACAUCAAAUUCAGUUAUAAAAAUUUGAGUAACAAAGGUCAAUUAUUUGGCACAAUUUGGAGUUAAAGACAAAGGAGA